CAGUCGCCGCGGUAUACGGAGGGGGCUAGCGUUGUUCGGAAUUACUGGGCGUAAAGCGUACGUAGGCGGCUUUGUAAGUUAGAGGUGAAAGCCCGGAGCUCAACUCCGGAAUUGCCUUUAAGACUGCAUCGCUUGAAUCGUGGAGAGGUGAGUGGAAUUCCGAGUGUAGAGGUGAAAUUCGUAGAUAUUCGGAAGAACACCAGUGGCGAAGGCGGCUCACUGGACCGACAUUGACGCUGAGGCGCGAAAGCGUGGGGAGCAAACAGGAUUAGAUACCCGCGUAGUCCCUGUCUCUUAUACC
rnacentral:rRNA from 1 species